rnacentral:rRNA from 1 species
UACGUAGGUGGCAAGCGUUAUCCGGAUUUAUUGGGCGUAAAGGGAACGCAGGCGGUCUUUUAAGUCUGAUGUGAAAGCCUUCGGCUUAACCGGAGUAGUGCAUUGGAAACUGGGAGACUUGAGUGCAGAAGAGGAGAGUGGAACUCCAUGUGUAGCGGUGAAAUGCGUAGAUAUAUGGAAGAACACCAGUGGCGAAAGCGGCUCUCUGGUCUGUAACUGACGCUGAGGUUCGAAAGCGUGGGUAGUAAACAGG